rnacentral:rRNA from 1 species
UACGAAGGGGGCUAGCGUUGUUCGGAAUUACUGGGCGUAAAGCGCACGUAGGCGGAUACUUAAGUUAGGGGUGAAAUCCCAGAGCUCAACUCUGGAACUGCCUUUAAUACUGGGUAUCUCGAGUCCGGAAGAGGUGAGUGGAAUUCCGAGUGUAGAGGUGAAAUUCGUAGAUAUUCGGAGGAACACCAGUGGCGAAGGCGGCUCACUGGUCCGGUACUGACGCUGAGGCGCGAAAGCUAGGGGAGCAAACGGG